UAGGGAAUCUUCGGCAAUGGACGAAAGUCUGACCGAGCAACGCCGCGUGAGUGAAGAAGGUUUUCGGAUCGUAAAACUCUGUUGUUAGAGAAGAACGUUGCAUAGAGUGGAAAAUUAUGCAAGUGACGGUAUCUAACCAGAGAGGGACGGCUAACUACGUGCCAAGCAGCCGCGGUAAUACGUAGGUCCCGAGCGUUGUCCGGAUUUAUUGGGCGUAAAGCGAGCGCAGGUGGUUUAAUAAGUCUGAUGUAAAAGGCAGUGGCUCAACCAUUGUGUGCAUUGGAAACUGUUAGACUUGAGUGCAGUAGAGGAGAGUGGAAUUCCAUGUGUAGCGGUGAAAUGCGUAGAUAUAUGGAGGAACACCGUGGCGAAAGCGGCUCUCUGGACUGUCACUGACACUGAGGCUCGAAAGCGUGGGUAGCAAACAGGAUUAGAUACCCUGGUAGUCCACGCCGUAAACGAUGAGUGCUAG
rnacentral:rRNA from 1 species